rnacentral:miRNA from 1 species
UGGAGCCAGGCGGAUCAGCCUUGC